CCUACGGGAGGCAGCAGUGGGGAAUAUUGGGCAAUGGAGGAAACUCUGACCCAGCGACGCCGCGUGCGGGAUGAAGGCCUUCGGGUUGUAAACCGCUUUCAGUAGGGAAGAAGCGAAAGUGACGGUACCUACAGAAGAAGCACCGGCUAACUAUGUGCCAGCAGCCGCGGUAAUACAUAGGGUGCAAGCGUUGUCCGGAAUUAUUGGGCGUAAAGAGCUCGUAGGUGGUUCGUCACGUCGGAUGUGAAAAUCUGGGGCUCAACCCCAGACCUGCAUUCGAUACGGGCGAUCUAGAGUGUGGUAGGGGAGACUGGAAUUCCUGGUGUAGCGGUGGAAUGCGCAGAUAUCAGGAGGAACACCAAUGGCGAAGGCAGGUCUCUGGGCCAUUACUGACACUGAGGAGCGAAAGCGUGGGGAGCGAACAGGAUUAGAUACCCUGGUAGUCCACGCCGUAAACGGUAGGCACUAGUUGUGGGAACCUUCCACGGUUUCUGCGACGCAGCUACGCAUAAGUAGCCCGCCCGUCGGGUAGGUACGAGUCGCGAAGAAUUAAACUAACAAAGGAAAGUUAGACGGCGUGAGACGUGCCGACGGACGACGACGAGGGAGGUAGG
rnacentral:rRNA from 1 species